GAUGAACGCUGGCGGCGUGCCUAAUACAUGCAAGUCGAGCGAACAGACGAUGAGCUUGCUCCUUUGACGUUAGCGGCGGACGGGUGAGUAACACGUAGGUAACCUUCCUAUUAGACUUGGAUAACUUCGGGAAACCGGAGCUAAUACCGGAUAAUAUUUCGAACCGGAUGGUUCGAUAGUGAAAGAUGGCUUUGCUAUCACUUAUAGAUGGACCUGCGCCGUAUUAGCUAGUUGGUAAGGUAACGGCUUACCAAGGCAACGAUACGUAGCCGACCUGAGAGGGUGAUCGGCCACACUGGAACUGAGACACGGUCCAGACUCCUAAGGGAGGCAGCAGUAGGGAAUAGUGCGCAAUGGGCGAAAGCCUGACGGAGCAACGCCGCGUGAGUGAUGAAGGUCUUCGGGUCGUAAAACUCUGUUAUUAGGGAAGAACAAACGUGUAAGUAACUGUGCACGUCUUGACGGUACCUAAUCAGAAAGCCACGGCUAACUACGUG
rnacentral:rRNA from 1 species